rnacentral:rRNA from 1 species
GUCCACGCCCUAAACGAUGUCUACUAGUUGUUGGGUCUUAAUUGACUCAGUAACGCAGCUAACGCGUGAAGUAGACCGCCUGGGGAGUACGGUCGCAAGAUUAAAACUCAAAGGAAUUGACGGGGACCCGCACAAGCGGUGGAUGAUGUGGAUUAAUUCGAUGCAACGCGAAAAACCUUACCUACGCUUGACAUGUCAGGAAUCCCGCUGAGAGGUGGGAGUGCUCGAAAGAGAACCUGAACACAGGUGCUGCAUGGCUGUCGU